rnacentral:rRNA from 1 species
UUACAGAGGGAUAGCCCAGAGAAAUUUGGAUUAAUACCUCAUGGUAUAACACCACCGCAUGAUGGUGUUAUUAAAGUCACAACGGUAAAAGAUGGGCAUGCGUCCCAUUAGCUAGAUGGUAAGGUAACGGCUUACCAUGGCUACGAUGGGUAGGGGUCCUGAGAGGGAGAUCCCCCACACUGGUACUGAGACACGGACCAGACUCCUACGGGAGGCAGCAGUGAGGAAUAUUGGUCAAUGGACGCAAGUCUGAACCAGCCAUGCCGCGUGCAGGAUGACGGUCCUAUGGAUUGUAAACUGCUUUUGUACGAGAAGAAACAACAUUACGUGUAAUGUCUUGACGGUAUCGUAAGAAUAAGGAUCGGCUAACUCCGUGCCAGCAGCCGCGGUAAUACGGAGGAUCCAAGCGUUAUCCGGAAUCAUUGGGUUUAAAGGGUCUGUAGGCGGUUUGGUAAGUCAGUGGUGAAAGCCCAUCGCUCAACGGUGGAACGGCCAUUGAUACUGCCAGACUUGAAUUACUGGGAAGUAACUAGAAUAUGUAGUGUAGCGGUGAAAUGCUUAGAGAUUACAUGGAAUACCAAUUGCGAAGGCAGGUUACUACCAGUGGAUUGACGCUGAUGGACGAAAGCGUGGGGAGCGAACAGGAUUAGAUACCCUGGUAGUCCACGCCGUAAACGAUGGAUACUAGCUGUUGGUGGCAACAUCAGUGGCUAAGCGAAAGUGAUAAGUAUCCCACCUGGGGAGUACGGGCGCAAGCCUGAAACUCAAAGGAAUUGACGGGGGCCCGCACAAGCGGUGGAGCAUGUGGUUUAAUUCGAUGAUACGCGAGGAACCUUACCAAGGCUUAAAUGUAGUUUGACCGAUUUGGAAACAGAUCUUUCGCAAGACAGAUUACAAGGUGCUGCAUGGUUGUCGUCAGCUCGUGCCGUGAGGUGUCAGGUUAAGUCCUAUAACGAGCGCAACCCCUGUUGUUAGUUGCCAGCGAGUAAUGUCGGGAACUCUAGCAAGACUGCCGGUGCAAACCGUGAGGAAGGUGGGGAUGACGUCAAAUCAUCACGGCCCUUACGCCUUGGGCUACACACGUGCUACAAUGGCCGGUACAGAGAGCAGCCACUUCGUGAGGAGGAGCGAAUCUAUAAAACCGGUCACAGUUCGGAUCGGAGUCUGCAACUCGACUCCGGAAGCUGGAAUCG